UUAUGUAAUAUGCCUCAGGCAGUGGCAGAAACCUAGGCUGAAAUAACCAGCACUACUUGCCAAACACUUUAGAAAGAUUAUGUUUCUUCUCCAUUACAGAAGUGGAACAUAUGGUUCAGGAAUUUACCCUAAAGGCAAACUACAGAGGUUAAGCAUGUGAUGCAGGGGCCAAAAUUGUGAGUUCAAAUGCCAACAUGUUUACUUACUAACUUCAUGACCUCACAAACUUGCUUCAACUUUCUGUAACUUUGUCUGCUUAUCUAUAAAACAAUACGUACCUCAACGUCUGGUUAAAAGUUUCAAUUGGCAUAAUAUAUAUAAAGCUCUUAGAAGACUGCCUGGAACAGGUUGCAGCAAGAUCCUCCCAGGAAAGUGAAGCGGAGAAAAUGGAGGUAGAAACUGUUCUCCUCAUUAAACUACCUGCCCUCUGUAAUGUAGCUCUUCUGUGCUGCAGAAAUUGAUACUACACAAGAAAAGAAAUGAUGGGAGAAUAGUGAAGAAGAGAAGAACUGGCCAGGUAGCAACAUAUAAGAGGCCAAGGGCCGGGCGCAGUGGCUCACACCUGUAAUCCAAACACUUUGGGAGGCCAAGGCGGGCAGAUCACCUGAGGUUGGGAGUUUGAGACCAGCCUGACCAACAUGGGGAAACCCCAUCUCUACCAAAAAUACAAAAUUAGCCAGGCGUGGUGGUGCAUGCCUGUAAUCCCAGCUACUCAGGAGGUUGAGGCAGGAGAAUCACUUGAACCCAGGAGGCAGAGACUGCAGUGAGCCGAGAUUGCGCCAUUGCACUCCAGCCUGGGUAACAAGAGUGAAACUCCGUCUCAAAAAAAUUUCUUUCAUGUCAGAUGGAUUGGAAUGGGACAAGGCACUUUUCAGAUUCAGCUAUGGGGGAAACAAAAGACAGAAGACAAAAGUUCUCACUUCUCAAAGAGCUAAGUUUCUUUAUAAUCUCUUUAUGCUCCAAGAUGUGUGUGUGUUGUGGGGUGGGAGGGGCGGUAUUGUCUCUUUAAUUAAAUACUUUACCAGGUACUUUUUUCCAAGUACUCACAGUUCUAUCUUAAUCAAGUAUUGUCUUUUAAAAUCAAAAUAAAAAUUAUAAAUAUUACAAUAAUACAUCCAUGCUAGAUUAUAUUUGUCUUUAUAUCAAUGUAGAUGUAAAAUGUAAUUUAAAAUAUUUUUUCAUGGCUGAAGAGGCCCAGGAAAGUCAUAUUGUGGACACGUGAAAAGCACAAUGAAUGAGUAUGGGUAUAUUAGAAGGUGAGAAGCUCUGUGGAGGAAGAAAAGGAAGUGUGAUAAACUGUCGGGAAAAGGAAAACACUAUGUGGAAGCAAGACACACAGGGAAAACAUCCUGUGAUGACAAAGGCAGAGAUUCGAGUGCUGCAGCUGCAAGCAAAGGCACACCAGGGAUUGAAGGCCAUCACCAGAAGCUGGGAAGAGACAAGGAGGGAUUGGAACAUGGCCCUGCUGUCACCUUGAUUUUGAACAUCUAACCUCCAGAACUGUGAGACAAGUUUAUAUUGUUUUAAGUGAUGCAGUUUGUAGUACUGUGUUAUGGAAGCCCCAGG
rnacentral:lncRNA from 1 species